rnacentral:lncRNA from 11 species
CGGCAAGGGCCGCUGACCCCUCCAAAUGGCUAUGUUUGUAGGUGCUUCCAGUGUUUUCCUGCUUUGGAGAUCUAAUUUUAACAAGAAACACACCGAAAACACCAACCAGUGGCAGCUGCAGAAAUUAUGCAUUUAUUUACAUAUGUUUAUCCCUUGCUCGGGUGCCAACAGGUUCCCGGAAUGGCUAAUGAUGAACUCGGGCAAGGAAAAUAACAAGCCACAAUUACAUGGAAACAGCAAAACACUGUCCAGAGUUGAAGGCUUUUAGACUCACAGAUAAUAUCCGAGAAAGAGAG